rnacentral:rRNA from 1 species
AAUAAACGCUGGCGGCGUGCCUAACACAUGCAAGUCGAGCGAGAAAAGCCUUCGGGCUUAGUAAAGCGGCGGACGGGUGAGUAACGCGUGGGAAUCUGCCUUUCAGUGAGGAAUACCCUCGAGAAAUCGAGGUUAAUACUGCAUACGUCUUGUAAAAGAGAAAGAUGGCCUCUUUGCUGUCGCUGAAAGAUGAGCCUGCGUACUAUUAGCUAGUUGGUGGGGUAAAGGCCACCAAGGCGAAGAUGGUUAGUCGGCCUGAGAGGGUGUACGACCACACUGGAACUGAGACACGGUCCAGACUCCUACGGGAGGCAGCAGUGGGGAAUCUUGCGCAAUGGGCGAAAGCCUGACGCAGCGACGCCGCGUGGAGGAUGAAGGUCUUCGGAUUGUAAACUUCUGUUAAGUGGGAAGAAAGACGAAGUCCUAAUACGACUUUGUGAUGACGGUACCAUUAGAGAAAG